rnacentral:rRNA from 1 species
UCAUACAAGAAACCCAAAUCAAUAGCCAUCCGGCGUAAAGAGUAGUCACAUGCUAUCUGCACUAACUAAGACCAAAAUGUAACCGAGCUGUCAUAAGCCCAAGAUCCACCUAAGCCCAACUUUAAACCGUCUUAGCCCCAUGAUUAAUUUCAACCUACGAAAGCUAGGGCUCAAACUGGGAUUAGAUACCCCACUAUGCCUAGCCCUAAAUCUAGAUACCCUCCCCACCCAUGUAUCCGCCCGAGAACUACGAGCACAAACGCUUAAAACUCUAAGGACUUGGCGGUGCCCCAAACCCACCUAGAGGAGCCUGUUCUAUAACCGAUAAUCCACGAUCCACCCAACCACCCCUUGCCAACACAGCCUACAUACCGCCGUCGCCAGCCCACCUCCUAUGAAAGAACAAUAGUGAGCUCAAUAGCCAUCCCCGCUAACAAGACAGGUCAAGGUAUAGCCCAUGGGGUGGAAGAAAUGGGCUACAUUUUCUAGUCUAGAAUAAACGAAAAAGGACGUGAAACCGCCCUUAGAAGGAGGAUUUAGCAGUAAAGUAAGACCAUACCCCCUUAAGCUUACUUUAAGACGGCCCUGAGGCACGUACAUACCGCCCGUCACCCUCUUCACUAGCCACCAGUACUUAUAAAUAAUACCCACUCCUGGCCAAAGACGAGGUAAGUCGUAACAA